rnacentral:rRNA from 1 species
GGAUUAGAUACCCCACUAUACUUAGUCGUAAACCAAGACAGCAAUACCAGCCCACUGUCCGCCAGAGAACUACAAGUGAAAAACUUAAAACUCAAAGGACUUGACGGUGCCCCAUAUCACCUAGAGGAGCCUGUCCUAUAAUCGAUAACCCACGCUCUACCUCACCCGCCCUCGCACGCAAGUUCAGCCUAUAUACCGCCGCCCCCAGCCUGCCUUACAAAAGCACCCCUAGCAGGCAUAACAGUCACCACUAAGACGUCAGGUCAAGGUGUAGCUAAUGGGCGGGAAAGAGAUGGGCUACAUUUCCUGCUUCCCAGGAAACCCACCAACAACACUCAGGAAUCAGAUGUCACAAGGAGGAUUUAGCAGUAAAUUCGGGCAAACUAGCCCGCUUGAACCACGCCCUGGGGCACGUACACACCGCCCGUCACC